AGAGUUUGAUCCUGGCUCAGGACGAACGCUGGCGGCGUGCUUAACACAUGCAAGUCGAACGGAAAGGUCUCUUCGGAGAUACUCGAGUGGCGAACGGGUGAGUAACACGUGGGUGAUCUGCCCUGCACUUCGGGAUAAGCCUGGGAAACUGGGUCUAAUACCGGAUAGGACCACGGGAUGCAUGUCUUGUGGUGGAAAGCGCUUUAGCGGUGUGGGAUGAGCCCGCGGCCUAUCAGCUUGUUGGUGGGGUGACGGCCUACCAAGGCGACGACGGGUAGCCGGCCUGAGAGGGUGUCCGGCCACACUGGGACUGAGAUACGGCCCAGACUCCUACGGGAGGCAGCAGUGGGGAAUAUUGCACAAUGGGCGCAAGCCUGAUGCAGCGACGCCGCGUGGGGGAUGACGGCCUUCGGGUUGUAAACCUCUUUCACCAUCGACGAAGGUCCGGGUUCUCUCGGAUUGACGGUAGGUGGAGAAGAAGCACCGGCCAACUACGUGCCAGCAGCCGCGGUAAUACGUAGGGUGCGAGCGUUGUCCGGAAUUACUGGGCGUAAAGAGCUCGUAGGUGGUUUGUCGCGUUGUUCGUGAAAUCUCACGGCUUAACUGUGAGCGUGCGGGCGAUACGGGCAGACUAGAGUACUGCAGGGGAGACUGGAAUUCCUGGUGUAGCGGUGGAAUGCGCAGAUAUCAGGAGGAACACCGGUGGCGAAGGCGGGUCUCUGGGCAGUAACUGACGCUGAGGAGCGAAAGCGUGGGGAGCGAACAGGAUUAGAUACCCUGGUAGUCCACGCCGUAAACGGUGGGUACUAGGUGUGGGUUUCCUUCCUUGGGAUCCGUGCCGUAGCUAACGCAUUAAGUACCC
rnacentral:rRNA from 1 species